UUUUUUUUUUUUUUUUUUUAAAGCACCCCCUGGAAUAGAAGUCCUCAAACUUUUUGUUGUCAUAAGGAACUUUUGUGGUCCCUGGGAAGCUUGUUAAAAUGCAGGUUUCCAGGCUUACCAGGUAGGGUCUCAGGAAAUGAGUGGGGCCUGGAGCCUGGGGUCUGCAGGUAUGCCCAGCUGAUCCCACUGCCUGGAGAGGCUUGGUAUGAGCGCCUUUAUACCAGGCCCUCCUGCCCCUUCCCCAGGCCCAGGGCUUUGGCACAGAUGCCCCCAGAGCACACUUUGGCCAAGGUUGCCUGGAGUUAGCCUGAACGCUUGCAGAGGGAAGUAGGCACGGAGGCCACCCAGGGCUCGCUUGCUGCUGUGGAGUGAGUCAGUCCAAUCGUGGACAUGCGUGGAGAUCACACUCUGGGGCUGGCCUUGCAGUGGACUUUCCUCCUGCCUGGCCGCAUAUAUUUUGUGACGUGAGCACAAAGUCUAACCCUAAGAAAGAGUUAAUGUAAAGCACAGUCAUACAAACCCCAAGUUAGGGACAGCAGUCGGGGUUAGGGACAGUGGUCAGGGUUAUAGGCAGGGAGUAAAUCCUGAAUGGUGGAGUCCUGCAGACGCAGAGGGGACCUGAGGACGUAAUAAAUAACCUGUGAGUGCCUGAGAGCUCUGUGCGUCCUGCAGCCCCUAGACCAUUAAUCAGAAACCAGCAACUGAAGGCCUGGCUGGCCAAACAUUAAUCACAAAGCAAUUAACCCAGCACAGACACGGGGGCGGGAAGGGGGCUGGAGGAGGAGGAGGACAAAGCUGGCUGGGGUGCAGGAGAGUGUGAUUUGGAAGAGGAGAAGGCACAUAGAUCCUUUUAAACGUUGAGGUGUGGCCUCACCAAGGAACUUGAUUUUCUGUCGGUACCUUGGGUUUUGUUUUACGACAGGAAAAAGAAAAAUCAUGGGCUAUGAGAAUCCACGCCGGCCCCUUUGUUUGGAUCCAGGCUUCCUCUUUGCAUAACUGGUGUGGGAGAGCCCGCCUGUGUGUGCUGCGCAGGCUUGGUUGGUGGUGCUGUUCACUUGGAUAGCGGUUUACCUGUGUGAAAAUGUGCAGGGUCAGAAACCAGUAUGUUUACAUGAAGCUGGGUGAUGCUGGAAGCAUAACGUUUUGAUUAAAUUCAAGAUUGGUUUUUGCCAUGUUCACAUUCACAGAUAAUAUUAUGGCUUCAGAUUCUGUCACUGUGCAAACUUUGGAGGUUUUUGGGAGGCCCCGGAGUUGGGUCCUGGAGGAGGAGGUCUGCUCCUGGCACAGAAGCUGUGCGCUGGGUCGAGCCCGGCCUCCAUUCCCUCAUCCAUGCUGAUAGUGGGCACUUGCGUUUGGAAAAUCGGAGAAGUCUUUCUCUCAUCAGAACAGGAAAGCAUUGCAACCUGCCUCUGUCUUGUAAUGAUUUCUCAUAUUGUGGAAAUUACUGAAGUAAUUCCCCGAGGCCCAGGUUAUGGGACUCAGGGGAACUGCUCCUUUCCCACGUAAAAUUUGAAAUAGAAUUAAUCAUUUUCUUUUUUUUUUUUGAAACGGAGUCUGGCUCUGUUGCCCAGGCUGGACUGCAGUAGCCGGAUCUCAGCUCACUGCAAGCUCCGCCUCCCGGGUUCACGCCAUUCUCCUGCCUCAGCCUCCCGAGGAGCUGGGACUACAGGCGCCCGCCACCUUGCCUGGCUAGUUUUUUGUAUUUUUUAGUAGAGACGGGGGUUUCACUGUGUUAGCCAGGAUGGUCUCGAUCUCCUGACCUCGUGAUCC
ensembl:lncRNA